GAUGAACGCUGGCGGCGUGCCUAAUACAUGCAAGUAGAACGCUGAAGGAGGAGCUUGCUCUUCUGGAUGAGUUGCGAACGGGUGAGUAACGCGUAGGUAACCUGCCUGGUAGCGGGGGAUAACUAUCGGAAACGAUAGCUAAUACCGCAUGACAACAGUUAUUGCAUGAUAACUGUUUAAAAGGGGCAACUGCUCCACUACCAGAUGGACCUGCGUUGUAUUAGCUAGUUGGUGAGGUAACGGCUCACCAAGGCGACGAUACAUAGCCGACCUGAGAGGGUGAUCGGCCACACUGGGACUGAGACACGGCCCAGACUCCUACGGGAGGCAGCAGUAGGGAAUCUUCGGCAAUGGACGGAAGUCUGACCGAGCAACGCCGCGUGAGUGAAGAAGGUUUUCGGAUCGUAAAGCUCUGUUGUAAGAGAAGAACGAGUGUGAGAGUGGAAAGUUCACACUGUGACGGUAUCUUACCAGAAAGGGACGGCUAACUACGUG
rnacentral:rRNA from 1 species